rnacentral:rRNA from 1 species
UACAGAGGGGGGCAAGCGUUGUUCGGAAUUACUGGGCGUAAAGGGCGCGUAGGCGGCCAACUAAGUCAGACGUGAAAUCCCCUCGGCUCAACCGGGGGAACUGCGUCUGAUACUGGAUGGCUUGAAUUCGGGAGAGGGAUGCGGAAUUCCAGGUGUAGCGGUGAAAUGCGUAGAUAUCUGGAGGAACACCGGUGGCGAAGGCGGCAUCCUGGACCGAGAUUGACGCUGAUGCGCGAAAGCCAGGGGAGCAAACGGG